GUAAAGCCAUUGAUCGAGAAGAGUAUCUAAGAGACACAUGAACAGAGAGGAAAUGUCAUAAAGGCUGCAAGCAUUUCUACAUGAUGACUUAGAGAAAGAACACUCAGGGAGGCUUUCUUCUGAAAAUAUUCUUCAUUAGUAGGUAGAAACGUGCGCAGGCGUUAACUGCAAAGUGGAAGAUUUAAGAAAAUCUUCAAUUAGGGUGGUACCACGGGAAAAAUCUCGUCCCUUGU
rnacentral:ncRNA from 1 species